GUGUGUGAAUGGUGUUCAGCACCAGGGACAGGUGUGUUUACCUGUGUGUGAAUGGUGUUCAGCACCAGGGACAGGUGUGUUUACCU
rnacentral:pre_miRNA from 1 species